rnacentral:rRNA from 1 species
UACGGGGGGGGCAAGCGUUGUUCGGAAUUACUGGGCGUAAAGGGUUUGUAGGUGGCUUGCUAAGUCAGACGUGAAAUCCCUCAGCUUAACUGGGGAACUGCGUCUGAGACUGGCAAGCUUGAGUGCAGGAGAGGAACGCGGAAUUCCAGGUGUAGCGGUGAAAUGCGUAGAUAUCUGGAGGAACACCGGUGGCGAAGGCGGGUCUCUGGGCAGUAACUGACGCUGAGGAGCGAAAGCGUGGGGAGCGAACAGG